GCUAAUAUUUGCUGAGGUGUAACGUUUUGGCUGUGCUGGCACUGUUGUGUGUUUUAAAAAAAAAAAAUUAAUUAUGACGUGAAAUUUAAUAAAAUUAGGUUUAAAUUAAAAAUUGAAUUUGGGGUUAAUUGGGGGUAAUUAAUUAAAAAUCCCAUUAAGAACCUUAAUUGUUUCUGGAAAUCUAAAAUGGAAAAAAAUUCUCAAUCUGAAUCCUAAGAACCCUAGAACCAGAAACCUGGGGAAGAACCAAAAAACCAUAAAUCUUGAACAUAAUGAAAGAAUCGAAGAAAAAGAGGCCAAAGAAUAUUAAAAGCAUUAAAACAACAACAGAUUUUGUCCCUGACAAUGACGAGGUGAGAAGAAAAAAAAUGUAAGCGAAUGGAGGAACAAAAUUGAUCACCAGAAAACAAUAGCCAGAAAAGGCAACGAUCUCUAACAAAUCGAUAAUUACUGAAAUUGAAUCAAGAUAGAAUUUUAGCUCAAACAACGGUUCAAAAAUAUUUAUCAACAGAAGAUGAUCAUCAAAAGAAACAAAACAAUAGGAAAAGAAAAGAAAAAGGAGAAAACCCAGAUGAACAAUUCUUUGAUUUAAUCUUUCACAAUCCAAGAAACAACAGAAACACAGAGGAACAAAGAGAGAGAAAAAGAACCUGCAUGAGGAAGAACAGCAGGAGCAGAAACCGAACCACGAAAUCGAACCAGACAACAAAAAACAAAAAACAAAAGAACCAAUCAAUAAUUGAAGUGAACACAGUGCGACUCCCCUUUGACCAUUCCCGAAAAACAAAAACCAAAACCCUAUCCCCUCCCCCCAUGCUAAAAAACCCUCAGCCGAAGUCCGAAAUCAGCUAAAAAAACAACGUCGCAAGCGAGACGAAAAAAUGGAGAAAGAAUCUCGUCAGCGGAAUUUCUUCCCCAGGUUUCUGGUUCUAAGGUUCUUAGGAUUCAGAUUGGGGAUUUUUUUCC
rnacentral:lncRNA from 1 species